GUUGACUAUUGUGCUCCUUUAAAGGAACACUAUAGGGUUAGGCAUACAAACCUGUAAUAUCGCUACAGUGUCCCUAGAUGACUUCAACCACUUACCCCCAUCAGUGGUCAAAUUGAAUGCUCAUCAUACCUGGUGCACAUGUGCAGCAAGUGCUGUGCACACAUUCAGUGCUUCUCAAAGGAAACACAGCCACUAGAAGUAUAUUUGAGCAUGGAUGUAACCAUUGCAGUUUCUAAAAC